rnacentral:rRNA from 1 species
GACGAACGCUGGCGGCGUGCUUAACACAUGCAAGUCGAACGGAAAGGCCCUGCUUUUGUGGGGUGCUCGAGUGGCGAACGGGUGAGUAACACGUGAGUAACUUGCCCUUGACUUUGGGAUAACUUUAGGAAACUGGGGCUAAUACCGGAUAGGAGCUCCUGCUGCAUGGUGGGGGUUGGAAAGUUUCGGCGGUUGGGGAUGGACUCGCGGCUUAUCAGCUUGUUGGUGGGGUAGUGGCUUACCAAGGCUUUGACGGGUAGCCGGCCUGAGAGGGUGACCGGCCACAUUGGGACUGAGAUACGGCCCAGACUCCUACGGGAGGCAGCAGUGGGGAAUAUUGCACAAUGGGCGGAAGCCUGAUGCAGCAACGCCGCGUGCGGGAUGACGGCCUUCGGGUUGUAAACCGCUUUCGCCUGUGACGAAGCGUGAGUGACGGUAAUGGGUAAAGAAGCACCGGCUAACUACGUG